CCUGACUAGGUACCUCCCUGCCUUAGUAUAUAUAAGAAGGGAAAUAUCGAUCCAGUUCUAGACACAUAAGCAAGAAAAACUGAUAUUAGCUACAGAAGUAGAACACGAACUAGCUACUGGACAUCGAUCUGAUCUACAGAUAAAUGGCCUUUACAAAGAACGACCUUAGCUUUAGGGCUGCUGUAUUCGUAGCAGCUCUUCUGGUCGUGCUUAUUUUUUUCUUCUACCAAGGAGUAUCACUGUCAGAUGAAGUGAUGGCUGGAGAGCAAGAGGAAACAUGUGUGGCUGACUAUGAAUGCGGGCUGGCGUCAUGUGAGGUUAGAUGCCAGAACAUGAAGAUGGGCCCAAGUGCAGCCUACUGUGAUAGAAAAGCCGGAGUGUUGUAUUGUUGUUGUCUCCCACGACCACGUGUAGUGCAUCACAUUUAAGAAAAUGGUCUAGGGCAAGUCAUGUGUCAUGUGUCUUCUUCGUGCUGAUUGAUCAAUAAGAAUGCAUGAUAUGGUAAGA